UCUUUAGUAGCUUAUAUAAAGUGUCGGGCUUUUGAUCCGAUGAAGCACUUAAGUGUGCCUAAGGUA
rnacentral:tRNA from 1 species